rnacentral:lncRNA from 1 species
GAGGAAGAGUUAUCCGAUUGGGCAGCAGUUACACUAAAAUUCACUCCCGAACCUGGAAAGGUACUUGUUCUCGGGAUGCUUUGAAACUUAUGAAAAGCAUAAUUCUUCAUUGUUAGGCUCUAUACGUGCUUGCUUUCUGGAGUUUCUUGCUUUGGGGUGGGGUUUGGGGCAGUGAAGAUUAAACAGGAAUCAAACUUCACUGAAUUUGAAUGUGAAUCCCAGAUGGGCAACUACUAUUACUGACCGAUAUAAUCUGCCUUAUUGAAAAUCGAUAAAUCGAAUCAAUAAGCCCCCAAAAUCGAUAAAUCUAAAUCGAAAAAAUCGAAACCUUAUUGAAACGAUAACGAUAUGCAUAUGUACAAAUCGACAAUCGAUAAUAAGCCCCCAAAAUCGAUAAAUCUAAAUCGAAAAAAUCGAAACCUUAUUGAAACGAUAACGAU